rnacentral:rRNA from 1 species
AUUGAACGCUGGCGGCAGGCCUAACACAUGCAAGUCGAACGGUAACAGGAAGACGCUUGCUUCUUUGCUGACGAGUGGCGGACGGGUGAGUAAUGUCUGGGAAACUGCCUGAUGGAGGGGGAUAACUACUGGAAACGGUAGCUAAUACCGCAUAACGUCGCAAGACCAAAGGGGGGGACCUUCGGGCCUCUUGCCCUCGGAGUUGCCCAGAUGGGAUUAGCUAGUAGGUGGGGUAACGGCUCACCUAGGCGACGAUCCCUAGCUGGUCUGAGAGGAUGACCAGCCACACUGGAACUGAGACACGGUCCAGACUCCUACGGGAGGCAGCAGUGGGGAAUAUUGCACAAUGGGCGCAAGCCUGAUGCAGCCAUGCCGCGUGUAUGAAGAAGGCCUUCGGGUUGUAAAGUACUUUCAGCGGGGAGGAAGGGAGUAAAGUUAAUACCUUUACUCAUUGACGUUACCCGCAGAAGAAGCACCGGCUAACUCCGUG